rnacentral:rRNA from 1 species
AGCGAACGCUGGCGGCAGGCUUAACACAUGCAAGUCGAGCGCCCCGCAAGGGGAGCGGCAGACGGGUGAGUAACACGUGGGAACGUACCUUUUGGUUCGGAACAACCCAGGGAAACUUGGGCUAAUACCGGAUAAGCCCUUACGGGGAAAGAUUUAUCGCCAAAAGAUCGGCCCGCGUCUGAUUAGCUAGUUGGUGGGGUAAUGGCCCACCAAGGCUACGAUCAGUAGCUGGUCUGAGAGGAUGAUCAGCCACAUUGGGACUGAGACACGGCCCAAACUCCUACGGGAGGCAGCAGUGGGGAAUAUUGGACAAUGGGGGAAACCCUGAUCCAGCCAUGCCGCGUGAGUGACGAAGGCCUUAGGGUUGUAAAGCUCUUUUAGCAGGGAAGAUAAUGACGGUACCUGCAGAAAAAGCCCCGGCUAACUUCGUGCCAGCCGCCGCGGUAA